UCCUGUGUUUUUUUUCUCUCUCUCUCUCUCUCUCUCUCUUCUCCAGUACGUUGGCCAACACACAUCCUUUCUCUUUCUGUCCUUGCUUUUCCUUGUGCUGUCUCCCUUCGUACGACACGAGCACGUGUGCUCGGUGUGCAUCCCCACAGGGUAGGUCUCGGGGGCCAUGAUGAAGUAGGAGGGGACGAAAAUUGUGCAAGGUAGCGGGCGUGGGAGUGGAGGGGUGACUGUCAGUGUUAACUUGGUCUCUGUUCAUCAAGUGGGGUAGAUGUAGAUGGGCUGGAAGAAGGAGGCAGGGAUGAGGGCAAGAUUUCAAGCAUCAGUAGAGAUGUGUGUAGUGAUGGCUCAUGCUUGGCUUUUGCAGAUCCAUUUCCAGAGGAAUUUCCCAGGAGCCGUAGCCGGAGGAGAGGUUGGCAGAUGUGGACAUGAGGAAACUGAACAUCCUUCUGAGCAGACACGAACAGUCCUUGGCUUUCUGCUUCCCACAUAACUGGCUUUUGCAGAGGAAUCAUCCAGGAGCCCUCACUGAACGAGAAUAUGCAGAAGUGGAUGUGAGCAGCCUGGACAUCUUUCUAAGGAGACCUCAACAGUCCUCAGGUUUCUGCCUUCUGCCUAACUGGCUUAGCAAGAGAAAAGAAGUCACAGGCCAGAGUCUACUGCCCUCGUGCAAUGGAAAGAGAGCAAGAGCGAUGAGUCUGCAAGCGUUGUUGAUGCGACGCAGAAGGCGUGCAUCUGGGAGCGGAACCGCCACCACUCUCAAUGAGAUAAGUGUCGUCUUCGGUGAUCGCUCUGCUCAAGGCCCAUCUUGCUCCUGGUAGGGACGCCCCGUUAGCUGGGGCUGGGUUUAUAAGAAAAGGUUCCUGACUAGUUGUGGUUACAAGGGAGACGAUGUCCCCAUUUUCAGGGGCUGCUCAUGUCUCUGGCUAGGACCAGUGUGUCCUCCGCAGCAUAUUAGAUCCAGGGGGAUGACUCCAGCUGGUGAGUUUCUUGACUCCCUCCCAUGUUUUUCUCUCUCUCUCCUCUAAUGUGUUGGCCAACACACACUCUGUCUGUCUGUCUCUCACUCUCUCUCUGUCCUUGCCUCUUCUUGUGCUGUUUUCCUUCGUAGGACACGGGCAGGUGUGUUAGGUGUGCAUCUCCACAGGCUAGGUCUUUUGAGCAAUGAACAAGUAGGGGACCGAAAUGAUGCAGGGCAGUGGGCGCUAGAGUGAAGCGGUGACUGUGGGUGUUGACUGAGUCUCUGCUCUAGUGGGGCUGAUGUGGGAGGCAGGGAUGAGGGCAAGAUUUCACACACCAAUUGAAUUUUUUGUAGUGAGGGAUCUUGAUUGGCUUAUUUGCUGCAUUUGUAGAGGAAUUGUCCUGGAGCAGCAGCCGGAGGAGAAAUUGGCAGACAUGUGCCUGUGAGGAGCCUGGACAUUCUUCUAAGGAGACAUGAACAGUCCUCAGCUUUCUGCCUCGUGCAUAACUGGCUGUGGUACCAAGGGAAAAGAAGUGACAAGUCAGAGUCUACUGCCCUCAUGCGAUGGAAAGCGAGC